GACUUAUUUCUGUUUGAUGGAUUUUAGCAGAGGAUUUUCUCUAUUGGACUGAUGGAUCUUGGAUUUUCCAGAGGAUUGACUGCCAUUAUGAACUCCUGCUGAUGCUCUCUGCCUGCAGAAGAAAGGUAUCUAUUGUUACCUCCUGCUGAUGAAAGAGGCAAGGGAGACUCCUUGUGUCAUCGUGCUGGUGCAACCUGCUUCUGUGAGAGACUGGCUAAGAGAGGGCAGCUUCCAGCAGUUUCAUCAAUAUCUCUCCAGAAGAGCUUCCUGAAAUGAGUGCUGCAUAUUGUUUCACAGUAAAGUUGAUCUUACAAUAAUGAGAAGCACAUCCUGGAAUGAAACAGUAACCAUUAUUGCUCACACUGGUUCAUCUGAGGAAUGUAAAAUACAUGAGAACAAUAAGUAAUUCUCAUGUACUGUUGAAAAUUCUUGAACUGUGCUGUUCAAUUCAAAUCCUGUCUUUGUGGAGCUUCAGUUAUUUUAAGUUUAAUAUACAUAUUACAAGAACACCACAAAAACAAAAAUACAGUAUUUACAA